GAGUGGUUGUGUGAAAUGCUAAUUCCUGCUAUUUCUUGGCAGCUUUUCUGGAAACUGUGAUGACAGCUCCUGGUGGGAAAAAUCACCAAUGAUCACAGUAUUGUCUUGCUUCUAGGACUUGUCAGACCUCCAGGAGAGAAGCCUGCCAAACAGAGACUGGGACAUUGUUAUUCCAAGAGGGGGCCUGAAAAACAGCUCUCCUGGCUGGGUGUGGUGGCACACAAGCUUGCCAUACC
rnacentral:lncRNA from 1 species